rnacentral:rRNA from 1 species
CCUUCGGGUUGUAAACCUCUUUCGACCUUGACGAAGGCCUUCGGGUUGACGGUAGGGGUAGAAGAAGCACCGGCCAACUACGUGCCAGCAGCCGCGGUAAUACGUAGGGUGCGAGCGUUGUCCGGAAUUAUUGGGCGUAAAGAGCUCGUAGGCGGUCUGUCACGUCGGUCGUGAAAACUUGGGGCUUAACCCUGAGCUUGCGGUCGAUACGGGCAUGACUUGAGUUCGGCAGGGGAGACUGGAAUUCCUGGUGUAGCGGUGAAAUGCGCAGAUAUCAGGAGGAACACCGGUGGCGAAGGCGGGUCUCUGGGCCGAUACUGACGCUGAGGAGCGAAAGCGUGGGGAGCGAACAGGAUUAGAUACCCUGGUAGUCCACGCCGUAAACGGUGGGCGCUAGGUGUGGGGGCCAUUCCACGGUCUCUGUGCCGCAGCUAACGCAUUAAGCGCCCCGCCUGGGGAGUACGGCCGCAAGGCUAAAACUCAAAGGAAUUGACGGGGGCCCGCACAAGCGGCGGAGCAUGUGGAUUAAUUCGAUGCAACGCGAAGAACCUUAC